rnacentral:rRNA from 1 species
GUGAGGAAUUUUGCGCAAUGGGGGCAACCCUGACGCAGCGACGCCGCGUGGAGGACGAAGUCUUUCGGGAUGUAAACUCCUGUCAGUGGGGACGAUAAUGACGGUACCCACAGAGGAAGCACCGGCUAACUCCGUGCCAGCAGCCGCGGUAAGACGGAGGGUGCAAGCGGUGUUCGGAAUUACUGGGCGUAAAGCGUAUGUAGGCGGCAAGUUAAGUUCAAUGUUAAAGCCCACGGCUCAACCGAGGAGAUGCAUUGAAUACUGGCUAGCUAGAGGGUGUUAGAGGAAGACGGAAUUCCCAGUGUAGCGGUGAAAUGCGUAGAUAUUGGGAGGAACAUCGGUAGCGAAAGCGGUCUUCUGGGACAUACCUGACGCUGAGGUACGAAAGCGUGGGGAGCAAACGGGAUUAGAAACCCGGGUAGUCC